rnacentral:rRNA from 1 species
UGGGGAAUAUUGGACAAUGGGCGCAAGCCUGAUCCAGCAAUGCCGCGUGAGUGAUGAAGGCCUUAGGGUUGUAAAGCUCUUUCGCCCGCGACGAUGAUGACGGUAGCGGGAGAAGAAGCCCCGGCUAACUCCGUGCCAGCAGCCGCGGUAAUACGGAGGGGGCUAGCGUUGUUCGGAAUUACUGGGCGUAAAGGGCGCGCAGGCGGCUGCUCAAGUCAGGCGUGAAAGGCCUGGGCUCAACCCGGGAAUUGCGCUUGAGACUGGACUGGCUUGAGUGCGGGAGAGGAUGGUGGAAUUCCCAGUGUAGAGGUGAAAUUCGUAGAUAUUGGGAAGAACACCGGUGGCGAAGGCGGCCAUCUGGACCGCAACUGACGCUGAGGCGCGAAAGCGUGGGGAGCAAACAGGAUUAGAUACCCUGGUAGUCCACGCCGUAAACGACGAGUGCUAGACGUUGGGAGGCCUAGCCUUCCGGUGUCGCAGCUAACGC